AGUAACCGCGUGAGCAAUGUGCCCUUCUUUCUGGGGAUACCGUUUUGGAAACGAACGUUAAUACCGAAAUGUGAUGUGAACUGCGGCCAUCGUAGUCUCAAUUAACUGUUAGGGAGAGAAGAGCGGCUCGCCGUUCUAUCAGCUAGAUGGUGGGGUACGGCCUCCAUGGCUACGACGGAUAACUGGUCUGAGAGGAUGAUCAGUCACACUGGAACUGAGACACGGUCCAGACUCCUACGGGAGGCAGCAGUGAGGAAUCUUGCACAAUGGGCGAAAGCCUGAUGCAGCGACGCCGCGUGAGGGACGAAGGCCUUCGGGUUGUAAACCUCUGUCAGUAGGGAAGAAGUAUGACGGUACCUACUGAGGAAGCUUCGGCUAACUACGUGCCAGCAGCCGCGGUAAGACGUAGGGAGCAAGCGUUGCCCGGAAUUACUGGGCGUAAAGAGCUCGUAGGCGGGGGCGUGCGUCUGAGAGGAAAUAUCAGGGCUCAACCCUGGUGCUGUCUCAGAUACGGCGCUUCUUGAGGAUGUGAGAGGGAAGUGGAA
rnacentral:rRNA from 1 species